UGAACGCUGGCGGCAUGCCUAAGACAUGCAAGUCGAACGAGGUGCCCCAUUGAAGAUGAAGUGCUUGCACAGAUUUGGAUUGGAUCAGCACCUAGUGGCGGACGGGUGAGUAACACGUGGGUGACCUACCUUUAAGACUGGGAUAACUACUAGAAAUGGUAGCUAAUACCGGAUGACACAUUAAUUCGUUUUAAUGUUAAAAGGAGCCUUUAAAGCUUCACUUAAAGAUGGGCCUGCGGUGUAUUAGCUAGUUGGUGGGGUAAUGGCCUACCAAGGCAACGAUGCAUAGCCGAACUGAGAGGUUGAUCGGCCACAUUGGGACUGAGACACGGCCCAAACUCCUACGGGAGACAGCAGUUAGGAAUAUUCGUCAAUGGGGGAAACCCUGAACGAGCAAUGCCGCGUGAACGAAUGAAGGCCCUAUGGGUUGUAAAGUUCUGUUGUAUGGGAAGAAUUGCUAGACUAGGGAAUGAGUUUAGUUUGACGGUACCAUACCAGAAAGCUCCGGCUAACUACGUGCCAGCAGCCGC
rnacentral:rRNA from 1 species